CCUGCUGACUACAAGUCCCAGCGUGCACCGAGGGGAGGCACUUCUGGGCGCACUGCAUUCUGGUUCUCGUAGUACAACGUACUUCAUUGACCGUUCUGGCUUAGCGUGCGUCCCGCGUCCAAUCAGCGGAGGCCCACAAACCAGGAAUUUAGUGGGAUCCAACCCUGUACUACGCCUGCCGAGGAAGUACGGUCCUCCAAGAGCCGGGCGAGAGAGGAACAAUUAAAACCGGAUAAUGAACAACAUUCUAAACUUAUGCCAAUUCUUGGCUACAGCACUCAUGAGAACCAAACCUAGACAACGUGGCACCACGCCAGCCCCUCCUGGAGCAUGCUUCAAGUGUGGCAAAGAAGAACACUGGGUAUGAGCCUGCUCCAGCCCAUGGCCACCACCAGGAUCUUGUCCCACCUGUAAACUCCAGGGUCACUGGAAGUGCGACUGCCUGUCCACCAGAGAGCAGCAGAUAGUUCGAUCACUGCACCUGAAUUUGGCUUGGCUCGGUUCAUCCUCUGUUAGGGGAGAUGUCUGUGGAAAGUCCACGACAUUUCCUAAGUCUCUUAAUGCUGAGCAUCAACUCCAAACUGCAUCCUUCGCAGAUUUCAUCAAGACCUGGUUUUGACUUUGUUAGGACGCAUGGUGUCCAGUUCCAGAUGGCCCUCAAGGUCCCAGCCUCUGCAGUUUCGUACACAUAAUGGGCAGGCCUGUGAGGUGUGAGCAGGAGUGUGUAGACCUGACAGUGGGUGAUUUGAAAGGCAAGAUCUCUCAAGAAUUUACAGCUUCAGCCUUGCUUCCUUUUGGGUUUCUUCCCUGAGAGUUUCUGGCUACCUUGUCAUGAGUACUCUAAAGCCCUUGUGAAAGACCCACGUCGGGAGGAAGCGAGGCUGCCCGCCAAUGGGCAGGACCAGCUGAGGCACACACCCUGGCUUCAUGUGCUUGGCUGCAGGCCCGGGAGGCAUCUUGCCUGCAGCUUCCCAGGAGACCUUGUGCUAAUGCCAGACAUCUCCAGCUUGAC